AAUAAUCAUAAUCAUCACAACACAAGCGGGAAGCACAUUCUUUUCGUUUCCUUUUUUAUGUUUUGAAACCCUAGCUGAGCUGGUAUCGUGUUCUCCCGUCCCGCCACUCCGUCAGUGCUCCGCGACCUGUAGGAAUGAGCGUUUGUGGAUGGUUGCUCAUAGACAAACCAGAAGAAACGAGGGAAAGUGAAGAUUACGUUUCUUGAAUUUUUGAGAAUGACGAUGCUGACGAGCUCAAGUGUUUCAUGCGACUUGCAAUUUAUCCCCAUGAGGUGCCUUUUUCUAAGGACACUUUGUAUGAAAUCAUCCCUUGCAUCUCGCUGCCGAGGGACAUUGUUUUAAAUUAGUUGCACUACUUCUUCGCUAUCAAGUUCGAACUGAUCUGAAAGCUAACGAUGAGAAGAUGACUUUGCCUCCCGAUUGGGCAGUUAUCAAUCUUUCAUAUCCUCGCUGUUGUGAUGAUUGGGCUGUGGCAGAAAAUAUCCUUAAGUUCAGAGCUUCAUCCACUUGAAGCUUUCUAUGCUUGCGGGUGUACAGAAGUUACUGAAGAUCGAAAAUGAGACCAAAAUCACAAGCGAUUCGAUUUUUCGGUCUCGGUUUCGGUUUUGGUUUAAAUGUCGGUUUCAAAAUAUAAUUAAUAUAUAUAAAUUUGGGCUGGCGAGUCGGGGACGAGGGUUCCAUACUUUCAUUUCAGAUUUCACUGCUCUAGUGCUCUCUGCGACUCGCCGACGCCGACUCUGCCUCUCUCUCAGAGUCUCAGUCUCUCUACGUCUCUCGAAUCUCACUCUCUCAGUCAGUCGCCUUCUCGUCACUGCUCUGAGCUCUCUGCGGCUCGCCGACUCUGCCUUUCUCUUAAACUCUCAGUCUUUCUCCAUCUCUCGACUCUCACUCUCUCAGACUUCUCACCUCACCAGUCGCCUUCUCGCCUCUGCCCUCUGCGCAGGCGCAGCUGUGCUGCACCACUACCGUCGACAGCCAGCGGCCCUACCUCUGCGGCUCUGCCUCCCUCCCCUGUCCUCUCUACUUUCAAGCAGCUGAGAACCUAAGCUACCACCGUGCUUGGCUUAUUAGUCGUCAUUUUUGCUUUGGAGUCUGAUUAUUUACUUUACUUAAAAAUUUGUAAGACUUGUGUUUUAGUCUGGAUGGAUUGCAAUUUCUUUGUGAUAGAACCAUGCACUGCCAUCCAGUCAACUUGGAGUUCUUCCCCCACCACCCCCAUCUCUGCUCUUUCAUUAUUAUCUUCACAAUGUACCCAUUGAAAUGACUUUAACUUUUAACUUCACAGCCUUCAACUUCUUAGGUUUGUGAACU